rnacentral:rRNA from 1 species
GACGAACGCUGGCGGCGUGCUUAACACAUGCAAGUCGAACGGAAAGGCCCUGCGUUUGUUGGUUUCUCGAUUGGCGAACGGGUGAGUAACACGUGAGUAACCUGCCCUUGUCUUUGUGAUAACUUCAGGAAAUUGGGGCUAAUACCGGAUAGGAUCUCCUGCUGCAUGGGGGUGGUUGGAAAGUGUCGGCUGUUGGGGAUGGACUCGCUGCUUAUCAGCUUGUUUGUGGGGUAGUGGCAGACCAAGGCUUUGACGGGUAGCCUGCAUGAGAGGGUGAACGGGCACAUUGGGACUGAGAUACGGACCAGACUCGUACGGGAGGCAGCAGGGGGGAAUAUUGCACAAUGGGCGGAAGCCUGAUGCAGCAACGCUGCGUGCGGGAUGCCGGGCUUCGGGUUGUAAACAGAUUUCGCAUGUGACGAAGCGUGAGUGACGGUAAUGGGUAAAGAAGCACCGGCUAACUACGUG